rnacentral:rRNA from 1 species
UACAGAGGUGGCAAGCGUUGUUCGGAAUUACUGGGCGUAAAGGGCGCGUAGCGGCCGCCUAAGUCAGACGUGAAAUCCCCAGGCUUAACCUGGGAACUGCGUCUGAUACUGGGUGGCUUGAAUUCGGGAGAGGGAUGCAGAAUUCCUGGUGUAGCGGUGGAAUGCGCAGAUAUCAGGAGGAACACCGAUGGCGAAGGCAGGUCACUGGGCCGCAACUGACGCUGAGGAGCGAAAGCAUGGGGAGCGAACAGG